rnacentral:rRNA from 1 species
AUGCCAGCAGCCGCGGUAAUACGUAGGGUGCGAGCGUUAAUCGGAAUUACUGGGCGUAAAGCGUGCGCAGGCUGUUUUGUAAGUCAGAUGUGAAAUCCCCGAGCUCAACUUGGGAACUGCGUUUGAAACUACAAGACUAGAAUAUGUCAGAGGGGGGUAGAAUUCCACGUGUAGCAGUGAAAUGCGUAGAGAUGUGGAGGAAUAUCAAUGGCGAAGGCAGCCCCCUGGGAUAAUAUUGACGCUCAUGCACGAAAGCGUGGGGAGCAAACAGGAUUAGAUACCCUGGUAGUCCACGCCCUAAACGAUGGAUACUAGAUGUUGUCUGUAUCGACCCAGACAGUGUCGCAGCUAACGCGUUAAGUAUCCCGCCUGGGGAGUACGCACGCAAGUGUGAAACUCAAAUGAAUUGACGG